GCACAAUACACAACAUGUAGUGUAUUGUAGUAUGUAUGUAUACAUACUGUGACAAAACAAGACAAUUCUCCCUCCAACCUUACAAAGUUGGGUAUAAAAGACAAAACUGUUUUGUAGCAGCACAAGCUUGAUUUUUAAACUACAUCUGAAACCACCUAAGUUGUGUAUCCGCUUAAAGGGCUGCCGGUUCAAAUGUUAUAUUGCCUAGUGGAAACUUUGUCAUGGUAGCACUAAAAGGAAAAAUAUUAUAUGCUAAUAUAUAUAUUAUGUAUAUGCUAGAAUUGUGCCGUUUUCCAAAGAUAAGGCUUUGUUUUCCAAGACCUUUUCAUUUCUAGUGUCAAUAUUAAAUUGGCAUUUCCUUGUAGUUCUUUCUUGCAGUUAACAUUACUGUGGAAAAAGAGGGACACAGAAAUGGUUGUUGCACUACUCCCUUCACAGAUUAAGGGGCGCAGCAUCCUUAUCCACCAUAGUGAGCUAUGCUCACUUCGACCAUACCAGUGGUUGACAGGGGAGGUUAUUGAGGGCCUGUUUCAUGUUGCUGCCCACACAUUCAAUGUGGUGGACACCGUCUACAUUAUGAAUCACUACUCAGCAGGUGGGAUUUUGUUCAGUGACAGAACUGAACUACCUCGUCACAGUUUACCAAAGGUAAACUUUGACAACUAUGAAGCUGUUCUGUCAUUUGUGCUAGUCAACGGCAACCACUGGAACUUACUGUACAUUAAUGCAGAAACCAGCACAGUAUUUCUGAUGGAUCCAGCACGAUUGUCAUCAGAGCUUGAGGACUCUGAACAUGCUGCUAAAAGAAUACAGUAAAUCAACAUUUCAGCUAGUUUUGAAAAUUCUAAUACAAAUAUAUCUAAAUGUUUAAAGUGAAUAACAGUUAUUUACAUUAAUAUUCACAUACAACACUGACAACUGCUGUAAAUGAGAAUUGUGUAGAGGUAAGUAUUCAGUGAGUAACAUUUAUGGCUGAUCUGCACCAGUCCAUCAAACUUUGUUUAUUCACUUAAGUUACCAACUGUAACAAAAUCCCUAUUUAAAGUGUAUUAAAAUUAACGUUAUUCAGGGAAUACUUAAGGAUGCGGAGGACACGCCAUGGCAAAGAAGACUGGUUGGAUAUUAGGUGGAAAGGGGGAGUUAUGAGCCACCCAGUUCAACAGGAUGGAAGUAGCUGCGGUGUCAUUGUUGUCAAGGUAAGCUAAAGAGAUUUUGUGUUCAUUAUGUCAUGUACGAAAUGUGUGUGAAAGAUUAUUACAUUUCAUAACAUUAGGCAAACGUAAAAUGCAAUGUGUUGUGUGGCAACCCCGAUCGUCGGCGGCUGAGGUUUCCGAAGGAGACAGACCAAAUAGGGUGUAGGUCAAUGGUUUUUAUUGCGUAUAACCACUUAAAAAAAGUAAAACAAAAGACAACGAAAGUUCUUCCACUUAUGGGGUAAAAAGGGUGAGGGAUCUCCGGGUCCGGUCCGUCGUGAGGUCAGCAUGGCUCCCGCUCCCGGCUUCUCCCGCGACCGUCGCUCCCUCUCAGCACGAGCCACAUGGCUGAGAGAGCCCCGAAUGAGUGGAGCAGCAGGCUAUUUAAGCUGCUUCUCCACCGGUUCCUCAGGUGCUCCUCAUCUUCUUAAUUGGCAACGGCCGGGUUGCCACAGUUGACAAGUUACAAAUCGGUUAAAUGUUUUGGGAGGCAUUCUAGUCACAUUCUAGUCAAAUUCUUCAGUAAAAUGUUUCCCAUGUUUGAUGUCAGUAUCUGUGUAUUUAAUAUCCAAUGGAGAAACACCCACAGAAGUGUUUUUUGUUUAGAUGGCAAAAGCAGUGAUGGAGGCAUUUCCUCAGAUCCCAGAUGUUAAAUUUGAGACAUCCAAAAAGGCCAUGAAAAAGGAGAGGAGAGAUCUGGCUCUCGAAAUCCUAAAGGCAUCAGGUACAUAUACUGUAAAGCACACAUAUAGUAUAAUUACAAUAUACUAUGUAAAUGAAUAAAUAAAAAAAAAUUCUACUAUUUUGUUUCAGUCUUUGAUGAGCACACUUGUUGCGCAAUGUGUGCAGCCGUGAAGCCUCCGGGAUCUGGACCUCCCAUUACAGACUGGGUGAGUUGUU
ensembl:lncRNA